CGACCUCCCCGCCCGGCCGGGGAGCCUUGCGAGGGGCGGCAGCCUCGGCGAUCCCCGACCCGGCUGCAGGCUGCGCCCCGCGGGCCGGAAGGCUGCGCCCGCUCCUCGCCACCCUUCCCUCCCCUCCCUGAAGCCUGGCCAGACCCCUCGGGGACGCUCAGAGGCGCACCGCCGCUGUCUACCCGGGGAAGACGCGACUUUGCUGUUUUUGUCUUUGGGGGUUUUUUAAUGGUGGCUGUUAGGCUUCCCCCGCUCCCCAGCCUUCCUGUCCCCGACGCUCGGGAAAGGCGCGUUCGCCCCGGGUGCAGCACCGGGCACCGCGACCGGGCGGGCUCAACCCUGGUAGGAAAUGAAGUGGGUGUCUCCAGACCACAGCCUCCGGGCGCCGCUGGGGGAAGCCUGCGUGGUGCUCCAAAUCCACCUGCAAGCCCCGGGGCGCCAGGGUCUUUGCUGCCACCGCUCGCCCCAAAAUGAGCUCUCAAGCGUCACCUGACCGCUGGUGCCACCGUCUUUCCGGGCCAGUCUGCCUGGUUCCCAGACCUGCAGGAGAGAUGACCUUAAAGCCGGCCGCCCUCCCUCACCCCAUUCAACCCGAGAGCUGGGCUGGAAAGAGCCCGCUUCUGAUUCAGUGAAAUCGCUGGGCCACUUCACUUGCGUCUUCCCGACCCUACUUCGGAGAAGCUUCUCCAACGCAAACCCCUUCCAGGCGUCCCAUUCGCUCCACAGGAAGUCAUAUGCCAUGGAUGACAGACACUCCCUCAAUUGAUUCUGGACCUCCUUUAUGUGUUCUCAUGAGACCCCCUCUACUUUUUCAGCAGAGGACGCAGGACGGCUUGGCAUUUCAUACACCUGAGAUAUUUAAUGGACACAUUUUCGCAGGCUUUGCACUAUAAAUUCCACAAGAGGAAUUUAUCUUCAGCUCUUAGCACGGUGCUAGUCACAACCAAGUACAUACCUAUAAAUGACUGCAUGAAAGAAAAAUAGAUACAAUUCAGGAAAGCCAUUGUCUGGGCCUUGGAGAGCUGUACAACCGGGACACGAUAGAAUAAAAAAAGAUAAAGGACUCAUUUUACCCUGUUUACAUCACUUAUGGAAAUCUCUGAUAUUUUUCAAAACUCCUACCAUACCUUCAAGGAUAAAAUACAUCAUUCCAUAGAAACCAUAUUUUGAGGCAAGUACGUUUUUGAAAAUAAUUAACAAAAAUGAAAUAGAGAAUCAUAAAGAAAGGAGAUCAACUUAUAGCAUUUUGACAUUCUAAAUGAAUCAAUCCUUCAUCUUGGUCAAUUCUGUGAGAUAUUUUCCUCAUUUAUGCUUUGAUUGUUUUGUCUUAAUAAAAAUAUUCAACUAUGUUCUAA